rnacentral:rRNA from 1 species
GAUGAACGCUGGCGGCGUGCCUAAUACAUGCAAGUCGAGCGAAUGGAUUAAGAGCUUGCUCUUAUGAAGUUAGCGGCGGACGGGUGAGUAACACGUGGGUAACCUGCCCAUAAGACUGGGAUAACUCCGGGAGACCGGGGCUAAUACCGGAUAACAUUUUGAACCGCAUGGUUCGAAAUUGAAAGGCGGCUUCGGCUGUCACUUAUGGAUGGACCCGGGUCGCAUUAGCUAGUUGGUGAGGUAACGGCUCACCAAGGCAACGAUGCGUAGCCGACCUGAGAGGGUGAUCGGCCACACUGGGACUGAGACACGGCCCAGACUCCUACGGGAGGCAGCAGUAGGGAAUCUUCCGCAAUGGACGAAAGUCUGACGGAGCAACGCCGCGUGAGUGAUGAAGGCUUUCGGGUCGUAAAACUCUGUUGUUAGGGAAGAACAAGUGCUAGUUGAGUAAGCUGGCACCUUGACGGUACCUAACCAGAAAGCCACGGCUAACUACGUGCCAGCAGCCGCCGUAA